ACCUUGCUGUGUGAAGUGUCCCCAAGACAAUGUUCUUUUACACUGUUAUGGUUUUGCUUGUUCUUCAUUUAUGCUACAUGCUUUUUUACUGCAGCUGAAAACUCAGUCAUACAAAUUGUCCUAAAUUCUUGAAAGGUGAAUAAUAUUUUAUUGAAUCAAGAACUAAUGAUUCUACAGAAAAUGCUAUUUACCAUCCACUUUCUAUUGUCCACAUAACAAAUAUAGUCAUGACUUUGGAGUGUGUGAGGAAUGCGUAUUUGAAUCAGUGCACUGCUAUUUAGUAUGCAAAUCCUGUUAAUUCCAAUACACGUCAUGCUGCUAAAUGUCCACAUACAUUUUGGGAAAACUACAGUUGAUUAUCUAAUGCUCUCUCAUGUAGGCUGAAGACCUUUGGUGCUGAGAACAUCACUCAAAUAAUGCAGGGAUCUGUACAUCAUUAAGUACCUGGAUCACAUCUGCCACAAGCUGGUUCUAUAAGCAAAGAGGUAACAGGUAUUAUGAGAGCAAGAAACAGAGGCAUGUUUUUUCUUUGCUUUUAAAGAACAAGACAAGUCAACCACAUUUUGGUUCUUUUACCAUGUCUUUAUGCAUUUAAUACAAACUUUAUAGAAAUGUCGUCUGAAAAUGGUACUUAGCACACCUGAGGAUGGAUAAGGACUAUUACUACAGCUCUCCAGAGAGAGAGAAAGAAAGUCAGAAAAGUAAAAUGACUUGCUAAGAGCCUCCUAGCAAAUCUUUGACAGAGAAAGGAUCAGUAAACAGUACCUUCCAGCAGUCACUUUCUGUUUAUUUCUUUAUUGGCUGUUCCUUAUUUAUAAUUUUAAAAACAAUAUGGUCCAGCCCUAUGGAGACUUACUGCUGCUUACUUAUCCAUGGUUAUUUUGAGUCAUGACAGAACCUGUUUCCUAAUAAUGGCAGUCUCACUGGAUAGCUAAUAAAGACACAGGAACAUGUGGUGUUAAAGGUCUUGGUGGAAUCAAAAACCAGAGGAGAGAAUGAUGUAAAAUAAUGAAUGGGAAGAUAUAAGGAAAAUAUUGAAUGGUUUAUGGACCCAGAGGAAAACCAAGACUUUCUGUUGACAACUUUAUAUGGAUUUUCUCAUUACAUUUAGAGAUGGUGAAAAGUUUCAAGAAAGCAUUUCUACAAACAAUCUGGGAAACUCCAGCCUUUGGGAGAAGUUGGAGAUCCAAAUCUACAGUUGGAUCUUAGGGUCACUCAGAUGAUAUCAGAGGAUGUAAAAAGACUCAGAAGUACUGCCUGGGUGGAUGAUAUUUUUAUUCCCUCCAGACAUUUAGAAUACAGCUAUUUACAUCAGAAAUAACUUUACAAAUUAAUUUUAUCCUAAGUGAAGGAGGCUAUUUUACUAUCAGGUAUUUGGAUACUGGCAAAAAUAUUUUCAUAUUUGAAUACAGAUCAAGUAAGUAAUAUUCUUAAAGUUUGGUAUAAAAACUGGAAGUAAGA